rnacentral:rRNA from 1 species
GAUGAACGCUAGCUACAGGCUUAACACAUGCAAGUCGAGGGGCAGCAUGGUCUUAGCUUGCUAAGGCCGAUGGCGACCGGCGCACGGGUGAGUAACACGUAUCCAACCUGCCGUCUACUCUUGGACAGCCUUCUGAAAGGAAGAUUAAUACAAGAUGGCAUCAUGAGUCCACAUGUUCACAUGAUUAAAGGUAUUCCGGUAGACGAUGGGGAUGCGUUCCAUUAGAUAGUAGGCGGGGUAACGGCCCACCUAGUCUUCGAUGGAUAGGGGUUCUGAGAGGAAGGUCCCCCACAUUGGAACUGAGACACGGUCCAAACUCCUACGGGAGGCAGCAGUGAGGAAUAUUGGUCAAUGGGCGAGAGCCUGAACCAGCCAAGUAGCGUGAAGGAUGACUGCCCUAUGGGUUGUAAACUUCUUUUAUAAAGGAAUAAAGUCGGGUAUGGAUACCCGUUUGCAUGUACUUUAUGAAUAAGGAUCGGCUAACUCCGUGCCAGCAGCCGCGGUAAUACGGAGGAUCCGAGCGUUAUCCGGAUUUAUUGGGUUUAAGGGGAGCGUAGAUGGAUGUUUAAGUCAGUUGUGAAAGUUUGCGGCUCAACCGUAAAAUUGCAGUUGAUACUGGAUAUCUUGAGUGCAGUUGAGGCAGGCGGAAUUCGUGGUGUAGCGGUGAAAUGCUUAGAUAUCACGAAGAACUCCGAUUGCGAAGGCAGCCUGCUAAGCUGCAACUGACAUUGAGGCUCGAAAGUGUGGGUAUCAAACAGGAUUAGAUACCCUGGUAGUCCACACGGUAAACGAUGAAUACUCGCUGUUUGCGAUAUACAGCAAGCGGCCAAGCGAAAGCGUUAAGUAUUCCACCUGGGGAGUACGCCGGCAGCGGUGAAACUCAAAGGAAUUGACGGGGGCCCGCACAAGCGGAGGAACAUGUGGUUUAAUUCGAUGAUACGCGAGGAACCUUACCCGGGCUUAAAUUGCAGAUGAAUUACGGUGAAAGCCGUAAGCCGCAAGGCAUCUGUGAAGGUGCUGCAUGGUUGUCGUCAGCUCGUGCCGUGGGGUGUCGGCUUAAGUGCCAUAACGAGCGCAACCCUUGUUGUCAGUUACUAACAGGUUCCGCUGAGGACUCUGACAAGACUGCCAUCGUAAGAUGUGAGGAAGGUGGGGAUGACGUCAAAUCAGCACGGCCCUUACGUCCGGGGCUACACACGUGUUACAAUGGGGGGUACAGAGGGCCGCUACCACGCGAGUGGAUGCCAAUCCCAAAAACCUCUCUCAGUUCGGACUGGAGUCUGCAACCCGACUCCACGAAGCUGGAUUCGCUAGUAAUCGCGCAUCAGCCACGGCGCGGUGAAUACGUUCCCGGGCCU